UUGGAGGGCAAGUCUGGUGCCAGCAGCCGCGGUAAUUCCAGCUCCAAUAGCGUAUAUUAAAGUUGUUGCAGUUAAAAAGCUCGUAGUUGAGUUUCGGGAUCAAUGUUUCGGUCAUGCCGUUGGUAUGUACUGAUAUUAUUGAUUUCUCACCUUCUAAAGAACCGUAAUGCCAUUAAUUUGGUGUCACGGGGAAUUAGGACUGUUACCUUGAAAAAAUUAGAGUGUUUAAAGCAGGCUCACGCUUGAAUACAUUAGCAUGGAAUAAUGAAAUAGGACAUCCGAUUCUACUUUGUUGGUUUCUAGGAUCGAUGUAAUGAUUAAUAGGGAUAGUUGGGGGCAUUAGUAUUCAAUUGUCAGAGGUGAAAUUCUUGGGUUUAUUGAAGACUAACUACUGCGAAAGCAUUUGCCAAGGAUGUUUUCAUUAAUCAAGAACGAAAGUUAGGGGAUCGAAGACGAUCAGAUACCGUCGUAGUCUUAACCAUAAACUAUGCCGACUAGGGAUCGGAUGAUGUUAAUUUUUUAAUGACUCAUUCGGCGCCUUACGGGAAACCAAAGUGUUUGGGUUC
rnacentral:rRNA from 1 species